UACGUAGGAUGCAAGCGUUGUCCGGAAUUAUUGGGCGUAAAGCGCGCGCAGGCGGUUUCUUAAGUCUGAUGUGAAAGCCCACGGCUUAACCGUGGAAGGUCAUUGGAAACUGGGAGACUUGAGUGCAGAAGAGAAGAGCGGAAUUCCACGUGUAGCGGUGAAAUGCGUAGAGAUGUGGAGGAACACCAGUGGCGAAGGCGGCUCUUUGGUCUGUAACUGACGCUGAGGCGCGAAAGCGUGGGGAUCAAACAGG
rnacentral:rRNA from 1 species